UUUAACGAGUUUCUCACAACAAAAAUAUAGAGUUUCAUCUUGAGUUCUGAAGGUGAUCAAGAGGAUCCCGAGGAAUUCGUUUGAUCUUGCCUCGCUCUUGCUUUACACUUUUGAUUUGGGUUCAAGACCGAGAGUACUCGCAAAUAGUACUAAGUUGUUUUCUCUUGGAGAUUUUAAGUUGUAUUAUG